UGAACGCUGGCGGCAUGCCUUACACAUGCAAGUCGAACGGCAGCGCGGGGGCAACCCUGGUGGCGAGUGGCGAACGGGUGAGUAACAUAUCGGAACGUGCCCUGGAGUGGGGGAUAACUAGUCGAAAGAUUAGCUAAUACCGCAUACGAUCUAAGGAUGAAAGCAGGGGACCGCAAGGCCUUGUGCUCCUGGAGCGGCCGAUAUCUGAUUAGCUAGUUGGUGGGGUAAAGGCCUAUCAAGGCAUCGAUCAGUAGCUGGUCUGAGAGGACGACCAGCCACACUGGAACUGAGACACGGUCCAGACUCCUACGGGAGGCAGCAGUGGGGAAUUUUGGACAAUGGGCGCAAGCCUGAUCCAGCAAUGCCGCGUGAGUGAAGAAGGCCUUCGGGUUGUAAAGCUCUUUUGUCAGGGAAGAAACGGUGGAGGUUAAUACCUUCUGCUAAUGACGGUACCUGAAGAAUAAGCACCGGCUAACUACGUGCCAGCAGCCGCGGUAAUACGUAGGGUGCAAGCGUUAAUCGGAAUUACUGGGCGUAAAGCGUGCGCAGGCGGUUGUGCAAGACAGAUGUGAAAUCCCCGGGCUCAACCUGGGAAUUGCAUUUGUGACUGUACGGCUAGAGUGUGUCAGAGGGGGGUAGAAUUCCACGUGUAGCAGUGAAAUGCGUAGAGAUGUGGAGGAAUACCGAUGGCGAAGGCAGCCCCCCUGGGGAUAACACUGACGCUCAUGCACGAAAGCG
rnacentral:rRNA from 1 species